GAUUUUUUUUUUUUUUUUGGAAACAAAAAGGAUGCAUCCUAAGUUUCACAAUCUGGGUUUCAAUCUUUUCGCCCUAAACAAAUAGAGAGGCAUAUUCUCAAGAAGAGAAGUACUAUUGAAUGAGGUCAAUGUCAAGUCCCUUGAGUUUCACCGCCCAUUGAACUCGUCCCUGGAGUGGGCGAAGCUCCCCUUAAGCUGAGUUCACUGCGAGCAAAUUGUUGUCGCCUUAAACUCGAGACCAAGGGUACCAUUUCCUCCAUUUCUUCACCAUACGUCCUUAGUUCCUUCAGCAUGUCUACCCACACAUUUGGCCUCUUAUUUCGCAAAGAUCUACCAGCUUUGACUAUGGCAAGGGGCAAUCCUGCACAUUUUUCUACAAUUUCAGUCGCUAUACGACGCAAGUACGGUUCUUCGGAAACAGAUGCAGUGAUUUCAAACAAAUUCAAUGCCUCUUCUUUUGAAAGGACUUCAAGUGGAAACACUUUCUGCGCACCCAU
rnacentral:misc_RNA from 1 species